UUACCAUGAUGAUUAUUUUCAGUUCUGCUACUGAAGAACUUUGACGAUAGCAUAAAUACCAAACCACUGAAAA
rnacentral:snoRNA from 15 species